GACGAACGCUGGCGGCGUGCUUAACACAUGCAAGUCGAACGGUGAAGGGAUCAGCUUGCUGGUUCUGGAUGAGUGGCGAACGGGUGAGUAACACGUGAGUAACCUGCCCCCUUCUUCUGGAUAACCGCAUGAAAGUGUGGCUAAUACGGGAUAUUCUGGGUCUGUCGCAUGAUGGGUCUGGGAAAGAUAUUGUUUCGGUGGGGGAUGGGCUCGCGGCCUAUCAGCUUGUUGGUGGGGUGAUGGCCUACCAAGGCGGUGACGGGUAGCCGGCCUGAGAGGGUGGACGGUCACACUGGGACUGAGACACGGCCCAGACUCCUACGGGAGGAAGCAGUGGGGAAUAUUGCACAAUGGGCGCAAGCCUGAUGCAGCGACGCCGCGUGAGGGAGGGAGGCCUUCGGGUUGUAAACCUCUUUCGCCAGUGAAGCAGGCCUGCUCCUUGUGGGUGGGUUGACGGUAGCUGGAUAAGAAGCGCCGGCUAACUACGUG
rnacentral:rRNA from 1 species